CUAGUCACGUGACCACAAAGGUUGGCGGUGGUUUUCCGGACGUUUGUCUGCCAUUUUGAAUUCAAAAUACCACCAUAGUUCAUUUCUGGAUUAUUGACUCAUGGAAAAAAAAAAACCCACAAAUAUUGACAGUUGAAAGUUUCGAAAAACAAACAUUGUGUAAGUUGUGCAGGAUGUGAAACAUCAUUGAAUCUUUCCUGAACGAGGGAAACUCUCUUGCGGAAUCAUAUGCUAAUAGCUCGACAUGGAAAACGCAAAAAAAAUUUUAAAUAGUUCUAAAAGAGAAACCUGUCUAUGUUACUGAUUACUUUAAUUUGUAAUCGCAAAUCGUCCGCCUCUCAACUAUAGUUGAAAAUUCUACAGCACCGACCAUUUCCACAAGUACCAUGUAAAGCAGCAGUGUAAACAAUCUCAACCCCUAUGAUUUCACAUCACGGGCACAUUGUGGCACCACAGGAACACAACGUACCAAACACAGAAAGGACUGAACAGAGAUGUUUCACAGUCUGGUGUCAUCUUUCAUCUUUUGCACUGGUCAGAUAUAUGAAGGAUUAGAAACAGGAUGUCCACAAAAAGAUCCCUAAAGCAUAUGGUAGAGAAAAUGAAAACAGACCGAAAUCUAACUGGAGUUAGCCUUUUUGGUGCUGUAGAAGUAUUUGUCAAAGAACAGGGCAAUGGUGGUGGACACUGCUGCUUAGCUGAAUGGUCAUGACGUGGCGAUUCCUUGCAACCAUUCUCUCCUUCACUGUCUAUGCCUGCUAGAUUGACACACGUUUUGAAAGGCAGGGUCAGGUCAGGUCAAUCCCAUGCCCGGUCCGGGCGUAGGGGGGACCGUCCGGCAGCAGCGACAGACAGAAUUUUCCAGCCGGUCCUGUCUUGUUUUGAAAGGCACCCGUCGCAUAAAAAAGAAGGGCAAGACACACUUUUGACAUUGCGCCCACAAUUCUUAUUUACCAAGUCCACUUCUAUAUCAUCGCCGAUCUCCAAGAUGUCAUGACGGCGAAAUCUUAAUUGCUUGUACAAUGUUAAUUCGUCCCAUUAAUCACUGGAAUUGGUUCUGUCUUGAAAUACACUUUACUCACAAUUCAAACAUCGAGCUUUCAGUCCUCUCACGCUUACUCUCUCAACUUUAUGAUAAAGCUUGCUAUGAAUCGUCGUCUCUGGGAACACACGAACCCUUUCUCUCCAAUUAUAUAAUGAAACUUACUACGAAUCAUCGUCUCUGGGAACACACAAAACAUUCCUCACAGUUCCUCCUGUACUUUUCGUUUUAUCGUCUUCCAGAAACCCAUUCUUCUGCCGACCCAACAACGUAUUAAUUCCUCACGGGUUACUCUAAAAAAUAACUAAAAGGUAGAAAAACAAUUCAAACUGGUAAUAAGAGACUAAAGUGUUUCCUCUUUACACCAGUGCAAGUCUUUACGGUGACCAUAUGGGGCCUGUGAAUGGUAGAAAGAAAGGUCACCUUGUUCACCCACCACAGCACAAUGGUGUUCUUGUGACACCUAAAGUCUGUAGUACCCUUGGCCAUCUUUAUUUUCAUGCAGUCCUUUGACAGCUCCUUUUUAUUGCUAGAGGGGGUGUGGCAUUCUAAAUUCAGACAGCUGUAAUACAGUUUUUACUCAUUUUGUGUUUUGAUGUUGAUAUUAUGACAUACAUUUUGUACACUAGCUGUUUAACUUUUUUCAAGCCAUGAAAGAUGGCAUGAAAUUAUGUUAUUGUACUUAUGAGCUGUUUUACAGUUUUGGGGUCAUGAAAGAUGACCUGGAAAGAUUUUGUACCUUGCUGUUUCCUUCAUGUCAUGCAUAUUGCACACUUACUGUUUCAAUAUUUAAAAGUCACGAAGGGUUUUAUGUUGCACUUUGAUGCUGAUGUCAUGACAAAUCUAUUGCACAAUAAAGCUUAAUUCUUUUAAAGUACUGAAAGAUUGCAUGAAAAGAUGUUACAUGAAAAGAUGUUGCAUAUUGAUAUUUUUAUCAUAACAUAUGUAUUGCGCACUAAUUGUUUUACUGUUUGAAGUCAUGAAAGACAGCCUGGAAAAAUGUUGCAUCUUGAUGUUAGCUUCAUGACAUAAAUCUGGAAUACUAGGCGUUUAAUUGUUUUAAAGUAAUAAAAAGUGUUGCAGAAAGAUGCUGCAUCUUUCUGUUGACAAUGACAUACAUUAGCUUAUAACCGUUCUAAAGUCAUAAAGGUGGUGUGGAAUGAAUUUUUAUCUUAAUGGUGAUGUUAUAAAAUACAUCUUGCUGUUGACAUCUUCAAGAUACAUUUUGCAAACUAGCUGUUUAACUUUUAAAGUCAUGACAAGUGGCCUGAAAUGAUGUAUGUUCCCCUUGUACUUCGUAAAGUCAACUGUUGAUUAAUCAUUUAAACUGUCAUGAAAGGUGGCAUGGAACGAUUUUUUUCUCUUGGUGUUUGUGUUAUGUCAUACCGCUUGCAUGCUCUCGAUUUAAAUGUUUUAAACUCAUUGACGAUUGCAUGGAAAAUUUUGUAUCUUUCUGUUCAUUUCAUGACAUACAUGAUGUGCAGUAGCUGUUUAUUCUGCAUAUUAAUAUCACAAAAUUUUAUACCUGUGAAUAAAAGACAUAGCAUGUCUAUUGCAAACAUUCUGGACCCUACUGCUAAUGGAAUGUCAAACAACAAGGCCUGCGUUUUAGUAAGAUAGAUCUGUUAUUAUGUUCAAAGUGUGCUGGUUAGUAAAGUCUUCUACUGGCUGUUCAUUUUGUUUAUCUACUCUUUGCCUAAUGUACAACCAUGUAAGAGGGGAAAAAAAAGUUGAAAACACA